AUGCCGAACCCCACGCCGUACGCCUCCCUCCUCAAUGACGCCCCUCCCGCCGACCUCGACGGCGCCGACGCCGACCUCGACCUCUGCCCGGACGGCGGCCUGUGCUUGCCGGACGACCCGCUCGACACGGUCAUAGGCUACAUGUCCAUGCUCGACGACGGCUUCUUGGAGGGCCUCGGGCUGGGCUGCUCGCCGCCGCGGGGCCGCGUCGGCGACGGCCAAGACUACUCCGGGGGCGCGCUGGCGGGCAUGAAGGCCGACGCGGACCUCGGUUCGCUGGCGGAGGGGAGACCUCUGUCUCUCUGUGACGCCGGCGCCCCCGGCGGCCGGAAGAGGAGCGCGUUCCACAUGUUCGACAGUAAGCCGGAGGGGUUGCCGCCGGCGCGAGCGCGCUCGCUGUCGUGCAGCACGACGACAACUUCGUCGUCCACCGCGUCCGGGGCCCGCAACCUCUCGCCCACAUCCGGCGGGACCGAGGCGCCGCGGGAGCCUGCCUCCAAGGAUUAUGACCUGCGUUGGACUUUGCCGAGGAAGCCGCACCACCGACGGGCCGUCCGCAGGCGCGCCGCCUCCUGGUCUUUGGCUCUCCCGCCCCAGCUCAUGUCGGCUGGCGCCUAUGACUGUAACGGUGACAGCAAUGCCAACGACGACAAAGACAAAGACUACGUGCUCAGCCACUGCAAGAACGGCCGCGGCAAUGGUGGUCCACGCCCGGCCAGGCGGCAGCAGAAGAAAACGGACGGCAAGAUUUGCACCCACUGCCGCGUGGAGGGCACGCCGCAAUGGCGGACCGGGCCGGCCGGGAGCGGCACGCUGUGCAACGCAUGCGGCAUCCGAUACAAGAUGGGUAAGCUAUUCCCGGAGUACCGCCCGUCGACGAGCCCAGAGUUCGGCAGCCUCGAGCACUCUAACCGCCACAGGAACGUGGAAAGAAUCAGGGAGAAGAAGAUGAAGGUGAUGGUUCCCGAGGUGCCGGUGAGUCCGGACGCGGAUGACAAAGUACUCCUUCGAGUCUGUAAAUAUGAAAGGUAG
rnacentral:rRNA from 1 species